AUGACAUCGUGUUCUUUACCUCUCUCUCCUAAGUGCAUAAGUUAGAUUCCAAGGCUGGGGAGAGAGGAGGAGGAGCUGAGGAAAUAACAACGGGAACGACUUCCCUUUGGAGUUCUCAUUUUUACAACAAGGACUUGUUAAAGUUCCAGAGUAGCAAGGACAAGGCUGAUGGUGAAAUCAGCCCCUGAAAGAAAGACCAUGUGUACAUCAAGUCUCUCCAGUGAUGUUCAAGCCACAGAGACAGUAAAGAGAGAGGAAAAGAUGGUAAAAAAAAAUAGUGUCCACUAGAAUUCAGUGACUUGAAAAAUAAACCCCAGCCCUUCCUACACUCACAUUCACGUUCAAAGGGGUUGGGACUUCUCUUCCCCACCCAGGCAGUUGGGAAACCAAUUCAUUUAGGACAUAGUGCCACCAACUGUCCCGGCUUGGAUAUCUGUGCUUGGUUGUUGCAGUAACUUCUCUGGGCCUUGAGCCACCAUUCCUUUAGCAUUCCUGCAGACAAAUCCCGGUCCUGCCCUCCCUGACAAAGGCAAACUUGAUCAAGUUAAUCUGUGCCUCAGUUUCCUCACCUAUAAAACCGAGCUAAGGAUUCCAACUCACUUUAUAAAGUUAUUGUGAAGCUUGGAUUUUGAGUAUGACAGUCACUCAGUGCAGUGCUUAGCCGAGAGUUCAGUGACUGUUAGUAUUAAUGAUGUCCCCCAAGACUCCAAGACUGUUCAGGGAAAUCUUCAGGUCUCCAGAAUUUAACCCACAGAUCUAGGAAAGCAACCUAAACUUCAUGCCAACCAUCAAAGAGAUCAACCCAACCGUUCUCUCUUGGGUCAGCUCCACAGUCAUUCAGCAGAGGGACUUUCCUGAUGCGGCUGUGGAGGGUACUUGAGAGUCGCUGAUUCUUCUCCUGGAAGUCAGAGCCUGAAGGAAGCUGCUCUCCACUGCCUUAUUUCAACCCUUCUGGAGUUCUGCAUGUUUUAGUUAAAGAGUGCUACAGUUGCCACCUGUCUGUACCCUGAGCAAGACACCUCUGACCAGGUGCUGCUCUUCCAAAAGGAGGGGCAGAGCAAGCUGCGCAGCAGAUGCAAGGCUGUGCGAUCCCACACCAUCAGUGAAUGGCAGAGUCUCUCCCACCUUUAUUACACCCUGUGAAACCUCCCGGAAUGAAUUCACAUAAACCACUGCUUGCAAACUGG